CAGGAAGUAAAAAGAAAUUUGAAUUCGUAUGAAUUGAUCAACUUGAGGAAAUGAAUUCAUGCAAUAUUUUAUCAACACUUCCAUUGUAUCGACAUUGUCGUAACUGAUAACACCGGUUGAUACAUUGUCUUUUACUUUCCCCUUUAGAGUGUCGAAGAAUUAGUUCAGCUGUUUGAAAAGCGAUGUCGACAUAUCCGCAAUGCAGACCUUGAAAUUCUCUACGCCACGCUCUACGCCGAAGAGCUGGAGGAGUCCAAGUUAUGACGACACAUGACGACAUGUUACCAUGACAACGACAUGAGCCUGUCGCUAAAAGGCCAGCAGCGUAACCUGGUAUAAACUUGACAACCAUAACGAAACAUGGUAUUCAUAUAGUAAGCAAAACUAAUCGGUCGAUUGCACACCACAUAAAUGGUCAGCAUCAUUUCGUAUCUGGCCAAAUCGUAAUUGGGGGUAGCUACAAUCCUGGCAAAAAUUAUCGUGGACACCGCGUGCGUCAAACAAAAAUAGAUGUAUUUCUACAG
rnacentral:lncRNA from 1 species